GACGAACGCUGGCGGCGUGCUUAACACAUGCAAGUCGAACGGAAAGGCCCUGCUUUUGUGGGGUGCUCGAGUGGCGCACGUGUGAGUAACACGUGAAUCACCUGCCCUUUACUUUGGGAUAUCUUCAGGAAACUGGGGCUACUACCUGAUAUGAGCUCCUGCUGCAUGGUGUGGGUUGGAAAGUUUCGGCGGUUGUGGAUGUACUCGCGGCUUAUCAGCUUGUUGGUGGGGUAGUGGCUUACCAAGGCUUUGACGGGUAGCCGGCCUGAGAGGGUGACCGGCCACAUGGGGACUGAGAUACGGCCCAGAGGCAUACGGGAGGCAGCAGUGGGGAAUAUUGCACAGUGGGCGGGAGCCUGAUGAAGCAACGCCGCGUGCGGGAUGACGGCCUUCGGGGUGUAAACCGCUUUCGCCUGUGACGAAGCGGGAGUGACGGUAAUGGGUAAAGAAGCACCGGCUAACUACGUG
rnacentral:rRNA from 1 species